UACGUAGGCAGCGAGCGUUGUCCGGAAUUAUUGGGCGUAAAGCGCGCGCAGGCGGUCCUUUAAGUCUGAUGUGAAAGCCCACGGCUCAACCGUGGAGGGUCAUUGGAAACUGGGGGACUUGAGUACAGAAGAGAAGAGUGGAAUUCCGCGUGUAGUGGUGAAAUGCGUAGAGAUGCGGAGGAACACCAGUGGCGAAAGCGGCUUUCUGGUCCUUAACUGACGCUGAGGCGCGAAAGCAUGGGGAGCGAACGGG
rnacentral:rRNA from 1 species